CCGUCGUAGGUGGAGUGCGCAACUGAAAGAAACCGCGAACACUAAAUGUUUGUAUACCAUUCACCAAGUAAAGAACGCCCAUUCUUUUUAUUCUGUAAUGCAGCAGAAAAAUGCUGGAAACAUUCAACAGGUCACGUACCAGUUUUGGAGAAAGGCUUAGUCAAAAGAUUAAAUGGAAUGAUUAAAAACAAGCAAUUGAAAGUUAACAGGAUUAUGUAUUGCAUUGAAUUGCUGCUGCUAAAUUAACAAAUUUCACAUCACAUGCCGGAGAUAAUAAACCUGAUUCGAUUCUGAUUUAACAGUGCCACCAUCCAAAUUAAGGAGUAUUACAUAACUCCAGGAACAGCGGCACCAUCAGAACUCCUGAGAAUUACAGGAUGGACAUGAGAUUGGCUCUACAGUGCCCCCUAGCGGCUCACGUGAAAAUGACGGAUGAAACGAAAAGAUUGACAGCUACCUCAGAUAAAACUAUUGUUAAUUAAUGUAUUGGCAAGCUGGUGGCAGAUCAAUCGACUAUUGCUCAACAGUUCUUUGCUGAAGGACAAGAAGUGCUCAGAUGACCCUGUGACUCUUAAUGAAGAAUAUCUGAAAGUGUUUUAAACUUUAAAGGUGACAUUGUGUACUGCACCUGUAUUAAAAAAUUCACCCAUUAUACCAAUGAGAAACACAUAAUAGUCUUAAUUCAAGAACAUGGAGCAUCCUGUUGGUUAUGACUCUGCCAAUGAUUUGAUUCUAUAUUCUGAUAGAUCCUCAGUGGUUGAGAGAGGGAUUCAAAUGGUUGUUCCUAGAACCAAAGUGCUGGCAUCAGGCAACAUAUCACAGCAGCUAGAAGGGCAAGGGUCCUAUACGGAGAGCAGUAAAGGUACAUGAGCUGAACUGACAAAUCUCAGUCCUCCCUGUCCACUAAAUGGCACUUAUUGUGUAUGUAGUUACCAGGCCUAUCCCUGGAUGCAGGGCAUAUCUCCUGAGAAUGAUGGGAAGUAGAAAGAGUCGUGGUCCUGGAAGAGCUGUUGUUAUCUUGCUUACAUAGUGCUCCACAUGUGACACUUGGUGUCACUAUCUUACCACCCUAUAGAGUGGCAGCACUAGAAGCUGAGAGAUUCUAGAUGAUUGCAUUUCUAGGAUAUGGGACUGUGAGGCUGUUCUGGGUACUGACUAAUAUAGCAUCGGCUUUGGAGAAAAUACCAGAUGGAACCACAAAUGCCUUUGAUCAAACUCAACAAGCAUUAACCAAGUUGUCAGCAGUUGUUUCUUCAUACAGUACCAUUACAGAACAAUGCCGGCUUUGGAUUUUAUCAGAAAAAGGGGGCACUUGUGUUGCUGUACUUACAUACCUGAUGAAUCAGAAAAUAUAACUAACUUGUGAAGUCACAUCUGAGAAGCUACCAAAGAGGUUAAGAAAGUAGGGAUCAGUAUCGCAUCUAUUACACUCCAGGACACCGGUGAGUAACUAUUCUGUAUUAAUGGUAUAACUAUUGGUAUUAUAAUAAUGACUGUUAUUCUUCUACCUUUUUUGUGCGUGAUAAGACGAAGGAGAGGAAAUUAAUGGGUACUCACUGAAGUGGAAAGAGUAAAAGGGAAUUUUGGGUAGGGCUUUGAAACUCCAUCGUUGCUUUAUCUACAUAUAUAAGCAUAUUUCAGUUACUGUGUUUGAUGAAACAGAGUUGUUACGAAAUGACAAAAAGGAGGAAAGGUAGAAAUGUACUUGUAGUAACAAAAUGUUAUUUUUGUCUGAAACAUUGUAUUGUAUCAGAGUGCUUUGUUCAACAUUAUGCCAAUGGACCUUGAGUAUAUGACAAACUGCAGAAAGACAAGCAGAUGAUUUACUGGAAGAAUGCCAAGGACACUGAUUAGGUAGAUGUACAGAAUGUCCUUGAACUAAAGCUAACACUUGGGUAUAAAGAAGUGAUUAUGCUGUCUGUUUUUUCAAAGCUUUCACCAGCUCUUGUGCAGAGUGUUGGUCUUCCCUUGGAGCAAGUAAAUUAAAUAUGCAUUGAAUUGAUCCACUUCUGUUAUAAGAUGAGGCGUAAAGGUGUUCGACAAUGGCAUGGUAAUUUUGAGCAGAAAUUACCUUGAUUAAUGAAGUAGAAAACAAUAAUUAUAGACUUUUAAAAAUGAAAACAGAUGGGUCCUGUUC